UUUCAAAAUUCUGUGCUGGUGGUUCAGUGUUUAUACAUUUUAUAUUUUCUGGAGUGAAGCCGAUCACACACAAAAUGGUAAGCAUACUAUAAGUAGAUUAAACUGUCUUUUCAGAGGUGCAGCUCCUGCAAAGAGUAGACAAAGCAGAGAAAAUAUUGAUUCUUGCUCAGGAAGAUAUCUCAUGUCAUCAGAGAGGCACCAGUGUUGAUUUCUGAAGGAGACAUGGAGAGAUGGAAAAAAGCUAGCCCAACAGAAACCAAUAAGUAAGGAACUGAAGUUAAAGUCUUAAAUACUACACUGUCUGUAGAUGGAAAAGGGACUACAUCAUCAGACUGAUUCAGUUCUACAAGUUCAAAAUUGAGGACUCUGCUGAACAUUGAGGAAAAAAUACCGUAUCGGGAGAAGAUGGCAAGAGUCUGAUUCAAACUUCCAGUCUACCCUUAAAGAUGUGGACCGUGAGCUCAGAGUCCAAAUGCAAGGCUAGAACUGAAUCAAGGGAGAGAGCAGUCCUCCUCCACCUGAGAAGAAUAUAUCCAGCUUUGCUUCAGAUGGGCAGGGCAUUGCCAUUAGACUCUCCAAGCAGGUAGCCAAUUGAUUUUCAGGAAUCAUGUGAUCCCUCUUGGCAUGUCUACUUCUGCUUUAAUGACACUAUUGAAGAAGAUGAUGUUUCGAGGAGUCUAAAAAGGCGAGGGAUUGAUGCCUUACAUAUGAAGACUCGGGCAGCUGAGAAAAAGUGCGUGCUUUACCAGGAAAUGAGAAGUCUAAGGGGCCAGUCACACCAAAAGCGUUUAUGGCAGUUGCAGGCGCCUUUUUUGAAUGAUAUUCUAUGGGCAGGGCGCGUUUGCGCGCUGUUUAUGUGCGCCGAGCGCCUUGCGGUUUUUUGCCGCCUGCCGCGCACACAUUUUUGAACGAGCGCUGAGAGCAUAGAAGCGCCCGACGUCAUUCGCGUCUUUCCAUUGUCCAAUCGAAUGAGGGGAGAGGCGGGCCUUACGUUGUGGUGAGUGAAGUUUACAGUUGCUUUGAAGAACCGGAAUCCACUCGCUCACUCUCUCCUGCGUGUUUGUGCACCUCUCAAACCCUCAAACAAGGUCAGAGCAAGCGCCCUCUUUUUAAAGUUUCUGCUAAUAUGACAGUUAACAGCAAAAGAGCGCUCACGCUUCAAUAUUUGAUUGACAAGACAGCUGACUCAGUGGUUGCUUAGCAAUAUGAAAAGCCGCGUCGCACUGCUCUUUUUUGCAAGCGUUUAAAGCGCUUUUGGUGUGACUGGCCCCUAACUGAACACCCCAUCAGCAGCAGGCCUCUAACAUUUGUGCUCUAACAUCAAAGACACUGAGCAGCCUGGUGCAAAAGCUGCUCUCAUUCAACACCUCCAACAGCUGGAAAGAAAACUACAUCAAGCCAUUGUGAUGUUUCACCCACAUCUAUCGGACAUUGCUCCUGCAGACAACCCCCACUUGUGUCAGGCCCUCCCCAUGCCAAGCAUACAGACACUGGUAUACAAUGAUAAGAGUGAUAAUGAUGAAAAUGUGGAUAAAUAUGAUAACUAGCACUACAGAUUUUUUGUUAAUUUUUAGUCUGAUAUUGUAUUCUGUAAAAAGAAAGAUGUAAAAUGUAUAGUAUAUGUUGCAGCAUAUCAUAGAAACCUUUAUGGUGGUGUAAUAUAAUGUUCGCCUUACUUGUGCAAACAUGAUGUUUUACUAGAUCUGAUUUAUUAUUAAACGUAGGUACUGUUUUUAAGCACACAUAUUCACACUAGUCUGUGUGAGGACAAAAUUGUGUGUUUACCAUUGUGAUGUUACUUAUUUACUGUAAUGUACAAAUGUGGUCAAUGUGUGUAAGGUGUUUUGUUUUUGAAUCCUUUUAAACAAAUACUGUAAAAGUUUGUAAAAAAUAAAAAGUUUUCCA